GACGAACGCUGGCGGCGUGCCUAAUACAUGCAAGUCGAACGCAGUGGGGACGGGUGAGUAACACGUGGGUAACCUCCCAUCAGAGGGGAUAAACCUUGGAAACAGGUGCUAAACCGAUACUGAUGGAUGGACCCGCGGUGCAUUAGCUAGUCGGUGAGGUAACGGCUCACCAAGGCCACGAUGCAUAGCCGGCCUGAGAGGGUGAUCAGCCACACUGGGACUGAGACACGGCCCAGACUCCUACGGGAGGCAGCAGUGGGGAAUCUUCGGCAAUGGACGAAAGUCUGACGGAGCAACGCCGCGGGAAUGAAGAAGGUUUUCGGAUUGUAAAGCACUGUUGGUAGAGAAGCGGUAUCUAACCAGAAAGCCACGGCUAAGUACGUGCCAGCAGCCGCGGUAAUAC
rnacentral:rRNA from 1 species